rnacentral:rRNA from 1 species
AGAGUUUGAUCAUGGCUCAGAUUGAACGCUGGCGGCAUGCCUUACACAUGCAAGUCGAGCGGCAGCGCGGGGGCAACCCUGGCGGCGAGCGGCGAACGGGUGAGUAAUGCAUCGGAACGUGUCCUCUUGUGGGGGAUAACCAGUCGAAAGACUGGCUAAUACCGCAUGAGAUCGAGAGAUGAAAGCAGGGGACCGCAAGGCCCUGCGCGAGAGGAGCGGCCGAUGCCGGAUUAGCUAGUUGGUGGGGUAACGGCCUACCAAGGCAACGAUCCGUAGCUGGUCUGAGAGGACGACCAGCCACACUGGGACUGAGACACGGCCCAGACUCCUACGGGAGGCAGCAGUGGGGAAUUUUGGACAAUGGGGGCAACCCUGAUCCAGCCAUGCCGCGUGUGUGAAGAAGGCCUUCGGGUUGUAAAGCACUUUCGGACGGAACGAAAUCGCGCGGGUUAAUAGUCCGCGUGGAUGACGGUACCGUAAGAAGAAGCACCGGCUAACUACGUGCCAGCAGCCGCGGUAAUACGUAGGGUGCGAGCGUUAAUCGGAAUUACUGGGCGUAAAGUGUGCGCAGGCGGCGCUGCAAGUCGAGUGUGAAAUCCCCGAGCUUAACUUGGGAAUUGCGCUCGAAACUAUGGCGCUGGAGUAUGGCAGAGGAAGGUGGAAUUCCACGUAGCGGUGAAAUGCGUAGAGAUGUGGAGGAACACCGAUGGCGAAGGCAGCCUUCUGGGCCAAUACUGACGCUCAUGCACGAAAGCGUGGGGAGCAAACAGGAUUAGAUACCCUCGUAGUCC